AACGAACGCUGGCGGCAGGCCUAACACAUGCAAGUCGAACGAAAGCCCCUUCGGGGGGUGGAAAGUGGCAGACGGGUGAGUAACGCGUGGGAACCUACCCAAGGGUACGGAAUAACCCAGGGAAACUUGGGCUAAUACCGUAUACGUCCCCCUUUGGAGACAUUGGGGGAGAAAGAUUUAUCGCCCCUGGAUGGGCCCGCGUCGGAUUAGCUUGUUGGUGGGGUAAUGGCUCACCAAGGCGACGAUCCGUAGCUGGUCUGAGAGGAUGAUCAGCCACACUGGGACUGAGACACGGCCCAGACUCCUACGGGAGGCAGCAGUGGGGAAUAUUGGACAAUGGGCGCAAGCCUGAUCCAGCCAUGCCGCGUGAGUGAAGAAGGCCUUAGGGUUGUAAAGCUCUUUCGGCGAGGAAGAUAAUGACGGUACUCGCAGAAGAAGCCCCGGCUAACUCCGUG
rnacentral:rRNA from 1 species